rnacentral:misc_RNA from 1 species
GAUGAAGAACGUAGCAAAAUGCGAUACUUGGUGUGAAUUGCAGAAUCCCGUGAACCAUCGCGUUUUUGAACGCAAGUUGCGCCCGAAGCCUUUUGGCCGAGGGCACGUCUGCCUGGGCGUCACGCAUCGCGUCGCCCCCCCACAAUUCUCCGUAAAGGGAACAUGUGUUUUGGGGGCGGAUAUUGGUCUCCCGUGCUCAUGGCGUGGUUGGCCGAAAUAGGAGUCCUUUCGAUGGACGCACGAACUAGUGGUGGUCGUAAAAACCCUCGUCUUUUGUUUCGUGCUGUUGCUCGCAAGGUAAACUCUUUAAAAACCCCAAUGCGUCGUCUCUUGACGACGCUUCGACCGCGACCCCAGGUCAGGCGGGACUACCCGCUGAGUUUAAGCAUAUCAAUAAGCGGAGGA